rnacentral:rRNA from 1 species
UACAGAGGUCCCAAGCGUUGUUCGGAUUCACUGGGCGUAAAGGGUGCGUAGGUGGCUGGGAAAGUUUGAUGUGAAAUCCCCGGGCUCAACCCGGGAACUGCAUUGAAAACUAUCCAGCUAGAGGGUCGGAGGGGAGACUGGAAUUCUUGGUGUAGCAGUGAAAUGCGUAGAUAUCAAGAGGAACACCAGUGGCGAAGGCGAGUCUCUGGACGACACCUGACACUGAGGCACGAAAGCUAGGGGAGCAAACAGG